rnacentral:rRNA from 1 species
UAAGGGAUAUUGCACAAUGGGGGAAACCCUGAUGCAGCAACGCCGCGUGGGUGAAGAAGGCCUUCGGGUCGUAAAACCCUUUUCUAGGGGAAGAGGAAGGACAGUACCCUAGGAGGAAGCCACGGCUAACUACGUGCCAGCAGCCGCGGUAAUACGUAGGUGGCGAGCGUUGUCCGGAAUUACUGGGCGUAAAGGGCGUGUAGGCGGGAAUUUAAGUCAGAUGUGAAAACCCCGGGCUUAACUUGGGGACUGCAUUUGAUACUGGAUUUCUUGAGGACAGGAGAGGAAAGCGGAAUUCCUAGUGUAGCGGUGAAAUGCGUAGAUAUUAGGAGGAACACCAGUGGCGAAGGCGGCUUUCUGGACUGUAACUGACGCUGAGGCGCGAAAGCGUGGGGAGCGAACGG